rnacentral:rRNA from 1 species
UGGGGAAUAUUGGACAAUGGGCGCAAGCCUGAUCCAGCCAUGCCGCGUGAGUGAUGAAGGCCCUAGGGUUGUAAAGCUCUUUUGUGCGGGAAGAUAAUGACGGUACCGCAAGAAUAAGCCCCGGCUAACUUCGUGCCAGCAGCCGCGGUAAUACGAAGGGGGCUAGCGUUGCUCGGAAUUACUGGGCGUAAAGGGUGCGUAGGCGGGUCUUUAAGUCAGAGGUGAAAUCCUGGAGCUCAACUCCAGAACUGCCUUUGAUACUGAGGAUCUUGAGUUCGGGAGAGGUGAGUGGAACUGCGAGUGUAGAGGUGAAAUUCGUAGAUAUUCGCAAGAACACCAGUGGCGAAGGCGGCUCACUGGCCCGAUACUGACGCUGAGGCACGAAAGCGUGGGGAGCAAACAGGAUUAGAGUAGUC